rnacentral:rRNA from 1 species
AGAGUUUGAUCAUGGCUCAGAUUGAACGCUGGCGGCAGGCCUAACACAUGCAAGUCGAACGGUAACAGGAAGCAGCUUGCUGUUUUGCUGACGAGUGGCGGACGGGUGAGUAAUGUCUGGGAAACUGCCUGAUGGAGGGGGAUAACUACUGGAAACGGUAGCUAAUACCGCAUAACGUCGCAAGACCAAAGAGGGGGACCUUCGGGCCUCUUGCCAUCGGAUGUGCCCAGAUGGGAUUAGCUUGUUGGUGGGGUAACGGCUCACCAAGGCGACGAUCCCUAGCUGGUCUGAGAGGAUGACCAGCCACACUGGAACUGAGACACGGUCCAGAC